GACGAACGCUGGCGGCGUGCUUAACACAUGCAAGUCGAACGAUGAACAGGAGCUUGCUCCUGGGAUUAGUGGCGAACGGGUGAGUAACACGUGAGUAACCUGCCCUUGACUCUGGGAUAAGCGUUGGAAACGACGUCUAAUACCGGAUAUGACUCUCGCCGGCAUCGGCUGGGGGUGGAAAGAUUUUUUGGUCAAGGAUGGACUCGCGGCCUAUCAGGUAGUUGGUGAGGUAAUGGCUCACCAAGCCGACGACGGGUAGCCGGCCUGAGAGGGUGACCGGCCACACUGGGACUGAGACACGGCCCAGACUCCUACGGGAGGCAGCAGUGGGGAAUAUUGCACAAUGGGCGAAAGCCUGAUGCAGCAACGCCGCGUGAGGGAUGACGGCCUUCGGGUUGUAAACCUCUUUCAGCAGGGAAGAAGCGAAAGUGACGGUACCUGCAGAAGAAGCACCGGCUAACUACGUGCCAGCCGCCGCCGUAAUAC
rnacentral:rRNA from 1 species